CCUACGGGCGGCUGCAGUGGGGAAUAUUGGACAAUGGGGGCAACCCUGAUCCAGCCAUGCCGCGUGUGUGAAGAAGGCCCUCGGGUUGUAAAGCACUUUCAGUGAGGAAGAACGCCUGGUGGUUAAUACCCAUCAGGAAAGACAUCACUCACAGAAGAAGCACCGGCUAACUCCGUGCCAGCAGCCGCGGUAAUACGGAGGGUGCGAGUGUUAAUCGGAAUUACUGGGCGUAAAGCGCGCGUAGGUGGCUUGAUAAGCCGGUUGUGAAAGCCCCGGGCUCAACCUGGGAACGGCAUCCGGAACUGUCAAGCUAGAGUGCAGGAGAGGAAGGUAGAAUUCCCGGUGUAGCGGUGAAAUGCGUAGAGAUCGGGAGGAAUACCAGUGGCGAAGGCGGCCUUCUGGACUGACACUGACACUGAGGUGCGAAAGCGUGGGUAGCAAACAGGAUUAGAUACCCGUGUAGUC
rnacentral:rRNA from 1 species